AUCCCAGAUCAGAUGCCAAACCCAGUGUGGAUCGGACACCAUGACGAGUCCAAACCAAUCCAUGCUGGGCUUGGCAUCUGAUCUGGGA
rnacentral:miRNA from 1 species